rnacentral:rRNA from 1 species
GAUGAACGCUGGCGGCGUGCUUAACACAUGCAAGUCGAACGGAAAGGCCAGUGCUUGCACUGGUACUCGAGUGGCGAACGGGUGAGUAACACGUGGGUGAUCUGCCCUGCACUUCGGGAUAAGCCUGGGAAACUGGGUCUAAUACCGGAUAGGACAAUGGUUUGGAUGCCGUUGUGGAAAGUUUUUUCGGUGUGGGAUGAGCUCGCGGCCUAUCAGCUUGUUGGUGGGGUAAUGGCCUACCAAGGCGUCGACGGGUAGCCGGCCUGUGAGGGUGUACGGCGACAUUGGGACUGUGAUACGGCCCAGACUCCUACGGGGGGCAGCAGUGGGGAAUAUUGCACAAUGGGCGCGGGCCUGAUGCAGCGACGCCGCGUGGGGGAUGACGGCGUUCGGGUUGUAAACUCCUUUCGCUAGGGACGAAGCGUAUUUGUGACGGUACCUGGAGAAGAAGCACCGGCUAACUACGUG